AUUUUCGGCUGCUAAGGAACCGAGGAGGCUAAAUGGGCCCAGACUGAAAUAUUUCUCCGAGAGGAAGCUUGUUAUGCAGCUCACAUCCGUGGGCCACGAGGUGUAUGCCGCAGUGCCUUUCGCUGAUGGGGCCAUUCUUCAAGAAGCGCAUAGGGCUGCCAUGUGCUCCACAAGCACAGACAGGCACCUUGGCUCCGCCGGGGCCCUUGCAGCCAUCUUCUGCGGUGACCCUCACGAGUGCCUGACUUGAGACUCUGAUUUUGUCAUCCAUCCAUCCCCAGCUGCUGGUGCGCUGCCCCUGGGGCACCCUUGCAUAGUGGCGCACGUUUGGGAGCGAGGAGGAGAAGCCGCCCGUGUGUCAUCUGCUGACAACUUUGGGCAAGGGGAGGCACUCUGUCUGCCAGCACGAGGAGCUUGCCUCUGAUUUGUACACGAAGGACGCAGAGGGUUAAAGACAAUCUCUAAAAAGGUGGCAUAUGCAAACAUGACUGUAUAAUGAGAAGGAAAUAUCCUUGGGGAGGAAAGAGUGGUGAAAAGCUAUUGCCAUCAUCCUUGCUUGUGGGUUUCCCAGAUGGACCUGGUUGGCCCAGUACUGGAAACAUAAUCCUGGACUAGACAGGCCUUUGGUCUGAUCCAGCAGGACAAUUCAUAUCCUUUUAGAGCUGGAAAUGUCACUAUCCUUGUGAAUGCAUAAAUGGAGCCCCUGUGGGCAAUCAGAAGGUACUGGGGUAACCCACAGAUACAUCAGUUUCACAAAAAUCUAAAGGAAAAAACCUAUGGGGGCCAACCCCCAACCCACCAAACUACCCCAAUAUAACUCAAUGGAACAGAAUAUUCAUGAAUUCAGAGGGCAGUUCACAACCAACCAGGUGGGCGGAGCUAAUGGAACUCAGUGGCGAGGAGGGGGAAGUCGGGCUGGAACAAAAAGAGUGUGAAAUUUCUCAUCUUAAAGAAUAUGUCUUCUCACAACCCUUUCUGCUUCUGACGGGGAGAGGUGUCCAAAACUCUCACCAUGCUCAGCCACAGACUCAGGUAACAAAUGCUGCUCACCAGGAGUAUACCGUAACAUGUGGUUGUGGGUCCAUACGUUCCACUGUUUAUUAAUAAAAAGAGAUAAAAACUUGGCAAGGAAA